UACGAAGGGGACUGGCGUUGUUCGGAAUUACUGGGCGUAGAGCGCACGUAGGCGGAUUUGUAAGUCAGGGGUGAAAUCCCGGGGCUCAACCUCGGAACUGCCUUUGAUACUGCAAAUCUCGAGUCCGAUAGAGGUGGGUGGAAUUCCUAGUGUAGAGGUGAAAUUCGUAGAUAUCAGGAGGAACACCGGUGGCGAAAGCGGCUCCCUGGCCCGAUACUGACGCUCAUGUACGAAAGCGUGGGGAGCAAACAGG
rnacentral:rRNA from 1 species